rnacentral:rRNA from 1 species
UGAACACGGAGCUUGCUCUGUGGGAUCAGUGGCGAACGGGUGAGUAACACGUGAGCAACCUGCCCCUGACUCUGGGAUAAGCGCUGGAAACGGCGUCUAAUACUGGAUAUGUGACGUGACCGCAUGGUCUGCGUCUGGAAAGAAUUUCGGUUGGGGAUGGGCUCGCGGCCUAUCAGCUUGUUGGUGAGGUAAUGGCUCACCAAGGCGUCGACGGGUAGCCGGCCUGAGAGGGUGACCGGCCACACUGGGACUGAGACACGGCCCAGACUCCUACGGGAGGCAGCAGUGGGGAAUAUUGCACAAUGGGCGCAAGCCUGAUGCAGCAACGCCGCGUGAGGGAUGACGGCCUUCGGGUUGUAAACCUCUUUUAGCAGGGAAGAAGCGAAAGUGACGGUACCUGCAGAAAAAGCGCCGGCUAACUACGUGCCAGCAGCCGCGGUAAUACGUAGGGCGCAAGCGUUAUCCGGAAUUAUUGGGCGUAAAGAGCUCGUAGGCGGUUUGUCGCGUCUGCUGUGAAAUCCGGAGGCUCAACCUCCGGCCUGCAGUGGGUACGGGCAGACUAGAGUGCGGUAGGGGAGAUUGGAAUUCCUGGUGUAGCGGUGGAAUGCGCAGAUAUCAGGAGGAACACCGAUGGCGAAGGCAGAUCUCUGGGCCGUAACUGACGCUGAGGAGCGAAAGGGUGGGGAGCAAACAGGCUUAGAUACCCUGGUAGUCCACCCCGUAAACGUUGGGAACUAGUUGUG